UGGAGAAAACAAAGAAAGAAAGUUCUCUCUGUCAUUUAAGAGUUCGUACUUUAAGGGUGUUCAUUUAUCUUUACUCAAAUGGAAGUUCAGUCCUAAUCAUUCCUCACUGCCUAUAUUUUCAUUCAUUGGCAACCAUGGACAAAUGAAAGUGACAUCUGCUGCAGUCCCCAAUCUGGUCAUAUUAGAAGAAAAGGAAUUCUGGUUCAAUGAACUUAAAUGAUUAUGUUCUUAUGGCUCCUGAGAAAGUCUUGCAGGCUAGAAUCAUCCCCAGGGAUAAUCAGCAGGUUCCUCAAGUUCUCAUCAAAUAGCACGGGAGUUCUUGGAGGAAUGUUCUGGAAGGAAGGAAGACCCAGUGCCCUGUCUUGCAUCUGGUGGUGUUAUGGUCAACCAUACUGACAGCAAAUUUGAGCACAUAAAUGUGUUAGUGACUUCUGGAUCAUUGAUACCCAGUCUUGUCAAGUGUUUACUCUUUCGGCUUGACAAUUUGAUAACACAUGGAAAUGGUUAGUCAUCUCCUUUAUCUCAUUUAUAUUUAAUUAUGUCCAAUUUAGCCAGCUUUAUUUCAGCAAUAAUCUGUCUGUCUUUGCAUGUGGUGUGGUGUUGUCUAAUCAUAUUGUAUUUGGAUGCUCGAAAUUAGUUUCCUUCAUACAUAAGAAGUGUAUUUGCCUAUCUUAGAUAAUUCCAAAGUUAUGGCUUGAACAUGGUGCAGAAUUCUUGAUUUCAAUCUAUAAAUUUAAUAGUAAUAUUGUAUUUCUUGAUUUUUUUUUUAUUUAAACCUCACAUAAAUACAAGAUGAAGAACUUCUCGACUGAUGAUAAUAAUGAACAUUAUCAUUUCUUGUUUUGGAAUUUCAAUCAUUAGUCAUUAUCUCUAAAUAUUUCUAGAAAAUAUCCAUUACACUGACACUGCUGGGGUAUCGCGUGAUAUCAAAGGGUAUGAAUAUGAUCCCUACUCCUUCCUUUCUCUUUUUUAUAUUUGUUUCCUUUGACUGAAAGGCAACCUUGAUUGAUUUUACUAAAGCAACUGAAAAAUCUUAUUGUACUUUAAGUUAGAAUUAGGGCAUCCAUCUGGUAAUUUAGACUACUCUUGCCUAGAGUUGAAAUUGGGCCCCAAGGCACAGUAGCAAUAAUACCCAACUAUGCAUUGCCUUUUCAAAAACCAAAUAAAUGUAUCCUUGAUGAAUGUUUCCUGUCAUAAUCUGCUAUGCCCUCACCAAUUUUAAAUGUUCUAGAACUUAAAACUGAUAUGUGGCAUCAAAAUAUUUCCACCCCAAGAUAAUAUGGGCUUAUCUUGCAACUCAUAACUUGUCUUACAUCUUUGGCCAGGGCCAUAGAAGUUAACGUUUUAUGGACUUAAAUUGAUGAUCAUAUGCAUCAUUUGAAUGCUUCUUUCAACAACAAAAAUGAAACUUGCCACCUUGGCAUACUAAAUUGGAUUCCUUUUAGAUUCUACUGGGACUAGGCUAGUAUAAAUUUGAUGCCAAACUUUUGACUUCAAAUUGAUUCAAUUAAAAAAAAAAAAGAAGAAAGAAAGAAAGAUCCUAGGAUAUUAACAAGCCAGUAAAAAAUUCUCAACUCAGACAUUGUUUCCCUAGUUCACCCUACAAUAUAGAGGCUUUUCCAAAUAUUUAUAGUAACUAGAGGUGCAAAUCAAAAGAAGCCUAAAACUACGAAAAUAUUAUGAAAAUACGUUUGAACUUCAGUUCAAGCCCUAAACAGAUGGUUAGGCAUUGGAGUAGUCCUGUCCAAAUCUUCAUUUUUUGAGUCAAGAUCAUCAAUUAGUGAAGGUUUAUUUGAGGCGAAUGAGAGCAAUUAAUCACACUUCCAAUUCCAUAUUUUGCAAAAGGUGAGCUAAUUGCAUUUAUUGUUGGUGUUUUAGCUCAUUUGUUAAAAAAAAAAUUAUGGUUUAUGCUGAGUUGUUUAUGAAAUUUGUAGUAUGAAGCAUUAAUUUGCCAAAUCUAUAGGUUAUUGUCUUUUUUUCCCCUCUAGUUUUUUGCUUUUUUAAGAAUUAUUUUUAAUAAAAUACAGAAGUAAUAGAAAAAUAACAUCAAGAGUUUUAUGUUUCAUUAAUGUUAGCUUAGUAUAUAUUUUGACUUAGGCAAGAUAAAAUUUAAGAAAAAUUA
rnacentral:misc_RNA from 1 species